UUUAGAGGAAGUAAAAGUCGUAACAAGGUUUCCGUAGGUGAACCUGCGGAAGGAUCAUUACCGAGAGCAUGGGGUCUAACCGGCCCUAACUCUUCACCCGUGUCUACAAAAAAAGUGUUGCUUUGGCGGGCCAGGGCCUCGUCCGGGUGGGUUAGCCCCCGCCCCGUGUCCGCCGAAGGCCCCAAUCCAUCCUGUUAUCAGUGUCGUCCGAGUAAAACCACAAUCAUUAAAACUUUCAACAACGGAUCUCUUGGCAAAAGUAUCGAUGAAAAACGCAGCGAAAUGCGAAAAGUAAUGUGAAUUGCAAAAUUCCGUGAAUCAUCGAAUCUUUGAACGCACAUUGCGCCCUUUGGUAUUCCGAAGGGCAUGCCUGUUCGAGCGUCAUUGCACCCCUCAAGCACUGCUUGGUGUUGGGCACCGCCCCCGUGGCGGGCCUGGAACUCAGUGGCGGUCCGGCGAGACUUCAAGCGUAGCAAGAUUUCACAUCCCGCUUUGGAAGCCUCUCGUCGCGUGCCGGCCAAACAACCUCACUAUUCUAUCAAUGGUUGACCUCGGAUCAGGUAGGGAUACCCGCU
rnacentral:rRNA from 1 species